rnacentral:rRNA from 1 species
GACGAACGCUGGCGGCGUGCUUAACACAUGCAAGUCGAACGGUGAAGGGGUCUGCUUUUGUGGGCCCUGGAUGAGUGGCGAACGGGUGAGUAACACGUGAGUAACCUGCCCCCUUCUUCUGGAUAACCGCAUGAAAGUGUGGCUAAUACGGGAUAUUCUGGGUCUGUCGCAUGAUGGGUCUGGGAAAGAUUGCGCCUUUGGGUGUUUUUGGUGGGGGAUGGGCUCGCGGCCUAUCAGCUUGUUGGUGGGGUGAUGGCCUACCAAGGCGGUGACGGGUAGCCGGCCUGAGAGGGUGGACGGUCACACUGGGACUGAGACACGGCCCAGGCUCCUACGGGAGGCAGCAGUGGGGAAUAUUGCACAAUGGGCGCAAGCCUGAUGCAGCGACGCCGCGUGAGGGAUGGAGGCCUUCGGGUUGUAAACCUCUUUCGCCAGUGAAGCAGGCCUGCUCCUUGUGGGUGGGUUGACGGUAGCUGGAUAAGAAGCGCCGGCUAACUACGUG